CUUCUUGGUGAUUCAUGAUAACUUAACGGAUCGCAUGGCCUUGCGCCGGCGACGGUUCAUUCAAAUUUCUGCCCUAUCAACUUUCGAUGGUAAGGUAUUGGCUUACCAUGGUUUCAACGGGUAACGGGGAAUUAGGGUUCGAUUCCGGAGAGGGAGCCUGAGAAACGGCUACCACAUCCAAGGAAGGCAGCAGGCGCGCAAAUUACCCAAUCCCGACACGGGGAGGUAGUGACAAUAAAUACUGAUACAGGGCUCUUUUGGGUCUUGUAAUUGGAAUGAGUACAAUUUAAACCUCUUAACGAGGAACAAUUGGAGGGCAAGUCUGGUGCCAGCAGCCGCGGUAAUUCCAGCUCCAAUAGCGUAUAUUAAAGUUGUUGCAGUUAAAAAGCUCGUAGUUGAACCUUGGGUCUGGCUGGCAGGUCCGCCUCACCGCGUGUACUUGUCCGGCCGGGCCUUCCUUCUGGAGAACCUCAUGCCCUUCACUGGGCGUGUUGGGGACCAGGACUUUUACUUUGAAAAAAUUAGAGUGUUCAAAGCAGGCCUUUGCUCGAAUACGUUAGCAUGGAAUAAUAAAAUAGGACGUGCGGUCCUAUUUUGUUGGUUUCUAGGACCGCCGUAAUGAUUAAUAGGGACAGUCGGGGGCAUCAGUAUUCAAUUGUCAGAGGUGAAAUUCUUGGAUUUAUUGAAGACUAACUACUGCGAAAGCAUUUGCCAAGGAUGUUUUCAUUAAUCAGUGAACGAAAGUUAGGGGAUCGAAGACGAUCAGAUACCGUCGUAGUCUUAACCGUAAACUAUGCCGACUAGGGAUCGGGCGAUGUUCUUUUUCUGACUCGCUCGGCACCUUACGAGAAAUCAAAG
rnacentral:rRNA from 1 species